CUUCACUGGUUCUAUGCUGAAGACGGGAAGCAGAGUCAAUAGCUGCACAACCUGCACCCGCCAUUCAUUGUUGGCACGCGCUUCUUUCAGUUGUUCGCUCCACAAUUCGAAUCAAUCUCUAAUCAAGCUAACAAUCCAAACCCUAAAACCCUAAUCCCACUGGUUAACACCAAAACCCCUUUCACAUUAUAUACCAAUUCCCUAUCAGAUCCCCAAAUUCACGUAAAUUCUUAAGCUUUCAAUUCUCUCUAGGGUUUUCAGAGCUCUGUAACUGCAAAAAAGGAAGUGGGUACUCGUCAAAAUGCUGGGUGGGUUGUACGGAGACCUCCCUCCACCGUCUUCGGCGGAGGAAGAGAAACCCAGCAACACCACGGUGUGGUCGAGCAGCACCAAAAUGGCGCCGCAGACUCUCCGAAAACCCGCAUCCGUUUUCGCUCCGCCGCAGACGAUUCUCAAGUCCCAAAACAAGCCCAAGCCUUCGAAUUUAGCCCAGCCCAAAAUUACAGCAUCACCGGUAAUUGCAACGUCGGCGAUACAAAAUGACAUGGUGCAACCUGCCCUGGUGGGGGUCACGUCGACGGUGCUAGAGGAGUAUGAUCCGGCGAGGCCCAAUGACUACGAGGAGUACAAGAGGGAGAGGAAGAAGAAGGCAAUGGAGGCUGAGAUGAGGCGAGAACUCGAUAGGAGGCGGCAAGAGGAGGAGGAGAAGGAGAGGAGAGAGAGGGAGGAGAGAGAAAGGGAAAGGGAGAGGGAUUUUGGAGAUUCAAGGUUGAAUAUUUCGGGUGAAGAAGCUUGGAGGAGGCGUGCGGCUAUGAGCGGCGGGGCAGUUCCAGCAAUGCCGGCAAUUCCAAGGUCGCCGUCUCCUCCUAAUAAUGGAGAUGGUUUUACCAUUGGGAAGUCGGAGAGUGGCGGGUUGGGGUUAGGGGCUGGCGGCCAAAUGACCGCAGCACAGAGAAUGAUGGCGAAGAUGGGGUGGAAGCAGGGGCAAGGGCUUGGGAAGCAGGAGCAGGGGAUUACUACUCCCUUGAUGGCCAAGAAAACGGAUAGGAGAGCCGGGGUGAUUGUGAAUGCCAGUGAAACAAAGCCGGAGAAGAAGGCGAAGAGUGUCAGCCUUAAUGGGCCACCCACCAGGGUUUUGCUGCUUAGAAACAUGGUGGGCCCUGGCGAGGUGGAUGAUGAGUUGGAAGAUGAGGUAGCAUCAGAGUGUGCAAAGUAUGGGACAGUGACCCGGGUGCUUAUAUUUGAGAUAACGGAGCCAAAUUUCCCGGUGGAUGAGGCAGUGAGAAUCUUUGUGCAGUUUGAGAGGUCUGAAGAAACGACUAAAGCAUUGGUCGACCUUGAUGGUCGAUACUUUGGAGGUAGGGUGGUUCGCGCGUCGUUCUAUGACGAGGAGAGGUUCGGCAACAACGAGCUUGCUCCAAUGCCAGGAGAAAUUCCCGGGUUCACUUGAAUCACGGGGCAUCAAAUGCAAGUUGAUUUUCCCACAUUUGUAGAGUUUACCGAGAAAGAUAAGGGAGAGAUGAGGUUUGGAUGAUUUCGCAUUGCCAUUCGAGUUGCUAGUAAUAUAGCAGGUAGUAGUGGGCAUUCAAACUUGGGAGUAGCUUUACUUAUUGUGGUCGGGUGGGUGAAGAUGAUGUAACUGCGACGGUAAACAACUGUAACAAACAUACAGUAGUUUCUAAGUCUUGUAAAAGGGUGGAACAAAAUCUGAUUGCACAAAAUGGGGUUUUUCACCGCAGCAUACAACUACAUAAACACACACCUCACAACCCCCCUCGCUUAAGUUUUCCAUUAUAUAUUCUAAUUCUGAUU